rnacentral:tRNA from 1 species
GGAGACAUGGCUCAGUGGUUAAGAGUACUAGCUGUUCUUUCAAAGGACCUGAGUUCGAUUCUCAGUGACUCAC